GUUCUCGUAGUUCAACGGAUAGAACAAGAGCCUCCUAAGCUCUAGAUGUGGUUUCGAUUACCGCCGGGAACACCA
rnacentral:tRNA from 1 species